GGGCCGUUAGCUCAAUUGGUAGAGCAUCAGACUCUUAAUCUGGGGGUUGAUGGUUCGAUUCCAUCACGGCUCACCA
rnacentral:tRNA from 1 species